UGGGGAAUAUUGCACAAUAGGCGAAAGCCUGAUGCAGCAACGCCGCGUGAGUGAUGAAGGUCUUCGGAUUGUAAAGCUCUGUCUUUUGGGACGAUAAUGACGGUACCAAAGGAGGAAGCCACGGCUAACUACGUGCCAGCAGCCGCGGUAAUACGUAGGUGGCGAGCGUUGUCCGGAUUUACUGGGCGUAAAGGGUGCGUAGGCGGAUGUUUAAGUGAGAUGUGAAAUACCCGGGCUUAACUUGGGUGCUGCAUUUCAAACUGGAUAUCUAGAGUGCAGGAGAGGAGAAUGGAAUUCCUAGUGUAGCGGUGAAAUGCGUAGAGAUUAGGAAGAACACCAGUGGCGAAGGCGAUUCUCUGGACUGUAACUGACGCUGAGGCACGAAAGCGUGGGUAGCAAACAGGAUUAGAUACCCUGGUAGUCCACGCCGUAAACGAUGAGUACUAGGUGUAGGAGGUAUCGACCCCUUCUGUGCCGCAGUAAACACAUUAAGUACUCCGCCUGGGAAGUACGAUCGCAAGAUUAAAACUCUAAGUGAAUUGACGGGGGUC
rnacentral:rRNA from 1 species